UCUUGGGCCACGUAAGACAUGCCUGCUUCCCCUUUGCCUUCCACCGUGAUUAAAUGAAGAUGGCAUAUGGAAAGGCGAUUCUUAUACUCAGAAGGAAAAGUUCCCAUGGAAGCCAUGGAUUCAUUCAUGACAAAUAUGACCUCAUCACUCCACCAGCAAGAAGUAGAGUCUGAUUCCUUUCUUGAAUCUGGGCUGAUCUCAGUGACUCAUUUGUCAUCAUAGACUGAGGCAGACAUGACACUGCACGACUUCAGAGGGUAUGUCAGAAGAAGACUUGAAUUCUAUGCUUUCAUCUCUUCUCACUGUCUGGUUGUUUUCUCUCAGAACAUGUCCUGUAGCAACCCAGCCAUCAGGCUGUGAGAAGCCCAUGACCCAUGGGCAGGCCAUGGGUAGGUGCUCCAGUUGAUAGUCUCAGCAGAGCUCAGCUUUUGCAUUAUCCAGCUCUAAGGACCAGACAUAUUAAUGAAGGAGAGUCCAGAUGAUUCCAGCUACUUAGCAUUCAAGUCACCGCCUAGUCAGUCCAGUCCUCCUAGCUGAGAUGCAACUAUCAUGGAGCAGAAAGAAGAUACCCCUACUCUGCUUGACCUUCAGAAUU